rnacentral:rRNA from 1 species
CGGAGAGUUUGAUCCUGGCUCAGGAUGAACGCUAGCUACAGGCUUAACACAUGCAAGUCGAGGGGCAGCAUUAUCGAAGCUUGCUUUGAUAGAUGGCGACCGGCGCACGGGUGAGUAACGCGUAUCCAACCUUCCCAUCACUCAGGGAUAGCCCGCCGAAAGGCGAAUUAAUACCUGAUGGUCUCCUUCGCGGACAUCUAACGAGGAGUAAAGAUUUAUUGGUGAUGGAUGGGGAUGCGUCUGAUUAGGUAGUAGGCGGGGUAACGGCCCACCUAGCCGACGAUCAGUAGGGGUUCUGAGAGGAAGGUCCCCCACAUUGGAACUGAGACACGGUCCAAACUCCUACGGGAGGCAGCAGUGAGGAAUAUUGGUCAAUGGACGGAAGUCUGAACCAGCCAAGUAGCGUGCAGGAUGACGGCCCUAUGGGUUGUAAACUGCUUUUGUGCGGGAAUAAAGUAUGGGACGUGUCCCAUUUUGCAUGUACCGCACGAAUAAGGACCGGCUAAUUCCGUGCCAGCAGCCGCGGUAAUACGGAAGGUCCGGGCGUUAUCCGGAUUUAUUGGGUUUAAAGGGAGCGUAGGCCGGAUAUUAAGCGUGUUGUGAAAUGUAGAUGCUCAACGUCUGCACUGCAGCGCGAACUGGUGUCCUUGAGUGCGCAGGAAGUCGGCGGAAUUCGUUGUGUAGCGGUGAAAUGCUUAGAUAUGACGAAGAACUCCGAUUGCGAAGGCAGCUGACUGUAGCGUUACUGACGCUGAAGCUCGAAGGUGCGGGUAUCGAACAGGAUUAGAUACCCUGGUAGUCCGCACAGUAAACGAUGGAUGCUCGUUGUUCGCCCAUUUGAGGGUGAGUGACUUAGGGAAACCGUUAAGCAUCCCACCUGGGGAGUACGCCGGCAACGGUGAAACUCAAAGGAAUUGACGGGGGCCCGCACAAGCGGAGGAACAUGUGGUUUAAUUCGAUGAUACGCGAGGAACCUUACCCGGGCUUGAACUGUAGGAGAACGAUUCAGAGAUGAUGAGGUCCUUCGGGACUCCUAUGGAGGUGCUGCAUGGUUGUCGUCAGCUCGUGCCGUGAGGUGUCGGCUUAAGUGCCAUAACGAGCGCAACCCUUUUCGUCAGUUGCCAUCAGGUCAUGCUGGGCACUCUGGUGAUACUGCCGCCGCAAGGUGUGAGGAAGGUGGGGAUGACGUCAAAUCAGCACGGCCCUUACGUCCGGGGCUACACACGUGUUACAAUGGGGCAUACAGAAGGCCGGUUCGUGGCAACACGGAUCCAAUCUUUAAAGUGCCUCGUAGUUCGGAUUGGGGUCUGCAACCCGACCCCAUGAAGCUGGAUUCGCUAGUAAUCGCGCAUCAGCCAUGGCGCGGUGAAUACGUUCCCGGGCCUUGUACACACCGCCCGUCAAGCCAUGAAAGCCGGGGGCACCUGAAGUCUGCGACCGCAAGGGGCGGCCUAGGGUGAAACUGGUGAUUGGGGCUAAGUCGUAACAAGGUAGCCGUA